rnacentral:rRNA from 1 species
AUGAACGCUGGCGGCGUGCCUAAUACAUGCAAGUCGAGCGAACAGACGAGGAGCUUGCUCCUCUGACGUUAGCGGCGGACGGGUGAGUAACACGUGGAUAACCUACCUAUAAGACUGGGAUAACUUCGGGAAACCGGAGCUAAUACCGGAUAAUAUAUUGAACCGCAUGGUUCAAUAGUGAAAGACGGUUUUGCUGUCACUUAUAGAUGGAUCCGCGCCGCAUUAGCUAGUUGGUAAGGUAACGGCUUACCAAGGCAACGAUGCGUAGCCGACCUGAGAGGGUGAUCGGCCACACUGGAACUGAGACACGGUCCAGACUCCUUCGGGAGGCAGCAGUAGGGAAUCUUCCGCAAUGGGCGAAAGCCUGACGGAGCAACGCCGCGUGAGUGAUGAAGGUCUUCGGAUCGUAAAACUCUGUUAUUAGGGAAGAACAAAUGUGUAAGUAACUAUGCACGUCUUGACGGUACCUAAUCAGAAAGCCACGGCUAACUACGUG